CCAGCAUUCCCAGGUAGGCCAGGGUGUCCUACAGAAAAACCUUGGGUCGCACCUUUGGGGGUUCUGG
rfam:Ornithorhynchus anatinus Cont3262.6, whole genome shotgun sequence.